rnacentral:lncRNA from 1 species
AAAUUCAGGCGAGAGAGCCCAUACAAAAUUGAAGGAAGGUUGUAGGAAGCAGAGGGAUGAUAAUCUUCUUUUACUUGGUCCCAAAGCUAAGUAAAACCACAAAUUCUCAAUCUUUCUCUAUAAAUAAAUUAAAAUUAAUUACUUCUUCUAUUAGCUCUCAGCAGUGAAAAAAAUAAUAAAAACAGUCAUAAAUGGCUUUGCUUUCAGGGUUAUUGAGCUGUUUUACUAUUUCUUCUUCUUCAUCUUCUAGAGUUUCUGAUAAUUCUAAUAAUGUCAACAACCUAAAAUCAUCAGAUAAAGUUGCAAAGAGCAAAAACAAGUCAAGUACUGGGGGUGCUCCAACUCUUGUUUCUUAUUUUCCUACCAACUCACAUCUUUAUCGCUUAUGACAGAUUUUAAGUAAUUUAUUUAGUUUAUAUUUCUAGCUCUUAGAAGUUGGAAGAUGAGGCUAAAAUUAAAUGAAUAUUGAACUUCAUCAGAAGGCGAUUUAGUUGAAUGACGAUUUUCUUUUUUUUUUUUGUAAUUGAAUUGGAUUUAUACUUGUCUGAUAUUUUAGCACUGUGGAAAAUACUAAUUUUGUAGAUCUACAAAUAUUCUUGUAUUAUUCAUACAUUAUGUGAUCCGAUAUAUUGCCGUGAUUUAUUUUUGGCGUGAUACACAUUGAGACAUUUAAAGUUGGCAUGAUCUUUCACUUAAAUACUUAAACUAAGACUCUUUUCACUUAGACACAUUUCUUAAACAAUUCUCAUAUCAAUUAGAUACGUUUUUUGCUGGUGGUAUAUAGCGUGACUUUAAACCUGUUUAGCCGCGUGAAGGCUAAAAAUUAAAUAUUUUUCCUUUCCCAAUUAGACGAAUAACGGUAAUAUCCAUUGCCAAUUAUUAUUUAAACCUUAAUCCCUUUCCCAAUUUUAAAAACCCUAUUUGUUCGCUUCUCUUCUUCUCACAUUUCUCCAGCAAUUCUCCGCCAAUUCUUUUCUUUUCUUCUCUUCUCUCUCUCGUUUCUGUUCUCUUCUUGGUAUCAAUUAAUUUCUUCUCUUCUCUUUUUCCUCUCAUUUCUGUUGUUGCCGUGUUUAUGAAUGUCGAACUUAUCGGACUCGACAAACUCUUCAAUGUCACCUUGCGCUGCCGCUCGAAUCUGUAAGUGUGGUAUUUCUCCAAAGUUAAAUACUUCUUGGACCCAAUUAAACCCAUGUCGUAAAUUUUUUGCUUGAAAAAUCUGAAAGGUAAAUUGUUUGUUCAUAAUUUAUAGUUCUGUUUUAUAAAUUAUUUUCUUUGAUAAAAAUUGAUUAAAAAUGUCUUGUGAUAUAAAGGAUUGAUGUAAUUAUUUCUGUUGGUAUGACUAUGAGAUGCCUACUCAAGCAAAGAAUAUAAUUUGGGGUUUAUUAAAGAGAGUCAAAGCUUUGAAGAGGAGAAAGUUCGAGCAAAAAAAAGAUGGAUUGUUUCGACGAUUGUUGUUAUAUUGUUGGUCAUUUUACGAAAACUGUACGACUAAUGUACUUUGGUUGUUGCAUGUGUUGUUGAUUAAUAUGUAAUAUUGGUGAUGUUGCUUUAAACUUUUUUUUAGAAACUGUUGUUGUAAUAUUUAGCUGAGUUUUGUUAUAAAAUUAUGGAUUUUGUUAUAAACUUCUAAAUUUUGAAACUGCUGUUGUAAUAUACACCUGCUGUAUUUUGAAAGUGAUGUAAUAUACAACUUUUGUACAAUACAUAAAACCAUAAGAUGCAGUUUCAAAAUUCGGAAGAUAUAGACUAAUUAUUCAAAACACAGAGUAACAAUUUUGCCAAAACAAAUAAAAUAAGGCUGAAGUUGCUGCUAUAUAACAUAUAUCCAAAAUAGAACAACAACAUUACACGACUGAGUACAACAAUUAAAGUUUAGUUCUUUCAAAAACUAGAUCCCAAAAUAUAAUAGGUUGUUGCUACAUAAUAUAUAGACAAAAUAAGUUCCUAAGAUACUAUUUGUUACUGAAGUUUGCCUUCAUCUGUUGCAACUAGGAAGUUGUGACAACAUCUUGACCCUUUCACCUCAAGUCUCUAGCCAUAAAACCAAGGUCAAUUCCUGUUGGAGUUCCACUCUUAUAAGUUGAACCACUUGCAAUAACUCAUUGGCUUGAUGCUCCGGGCUGCAGUUUGCCAAAUAAUGAACCACAAUCAGUAAGUUAUUUCUAAGUCAUAUCAUAGAUGAAAUAUGUAUGAAUAUAUAUAUAUAUUUAGUAUUUGAGUUCCACUUCCGGCUGUGUAGAUGCCUAAUCCAACAUUUUUGGACCUUUUUUGUGCUCCUUUUUUCAGCAUUUUCUUUACUUGCACCCCUUCCUCUCUUUUGGCUGGUAGUUGCUUUACCCUUUGGAUGAAGUUGACUACCUAAUCCUUUUCUAGCAGGCCUGCUCGAAUCUGCUAAACUUGGGGUUGGUUGGCUUGAGCUUCUAGCUUCAUUAACCCUUCUAAUCUUUGUUGUAUUAAAACACACAGAGUUUGAAGGUUGGCUUGAGCUUCCAACUGCAUCAGGUUGGCUAGCACCUUGUGAGCUUUGGCUACCUUGCUGUGAAAACAUCCAAUUUUCAGCCUACAUAACAUAGAGCAACAGAUUACAUAACAGUGAUGGAAACAAAUUACUAGAUUCAUAUGAACAACAUGAAUUUGUGAUGGCAACAUGAAAUAUUUAACAAGAAACAUUUACUUUACAGUAUUUUUUGUUAUGUCCUUGUUGAUGGCACUUGGAACAUGUCAUUUUCACUCCACACUUGGACAAAUUUUCAUAUUUCUUUUUUUGUUCAUCUUUGCCGUUUCUUCUGUUCCUCUGAGGUCUACCAAAAAUGGGUUUAGGUUUGGGAGGCUCUAUCUUAGUAUUGUUUGUUUCAUGCCACAUCUUCAUAUUUUUCAUAGGCCGGAUGAAAUACUUGUAUGCUUUUAAGAAGGUAUCCCUCUUAUACCAAUGUUCCACUGCCUGUUUAGGUUCUUCGUUUAUGUGAUAGUAUGCAAGAACAACAUAUUUACAUGGAAUAUCCCUCAACAACCAAGCUCUACAACUGCAAACUUUAUCAGUCAGAUUAAUUACAUACUUAUGCAGUCCUUCUUCAGUCUCAAAUCCAACAUCAGCAUUCCAAAGGACAAUACAUUUUCUAGUAAGCUCUUUGCUAUCCUCUAACAAUAGCCUUGCUAUAGGUGAUAUAUCAAAUAUCCAAGUAUCAGUAAAUUUUAACAUAUUCACUUGCCUAGUCAUAAUUUUUCUUCUAAUCUCCUCCAACAUAGUUAUAAUUGA